rnacentral:rRNA from 1 species
AUCCGUAGGGUGCAAGCGUUAAUCGGAAUUACUGGGCGUAAAGCGUGCGCAGGCGGAUUUUUAAGUCAUGGGUGAAAUCCCCGGGGUCAACCUGGGAACUGCCAUUUGUGCUUCAAGGCCGGGAGGCGGCCGAGGGGGCAUGAGAUCCUCGUGUAGGAGAGAAAUGCGUAGAUAUGCGGAGGAACACCGAUGGCGAAGGCAAUCCCCUGGGCCUGCACUGACGCUCGUGCACGAAAGCGUGGGGAGCAAACAGGAUUAGAUACCCUGGUAGUCCACGCCCUAAACGAUGUCAACUGGUUGUUGGGGAUUUAUUUUCUCAGUAACGAAGCUAACGCGUGAAGUUGACCGCCUGGGGAGUACGGCCGCAAGGUUGAAACUCAAAUGAAUUGACGGGG